rnacentral:lncRNA from 1 species
AGUGUGAUUAUUUUUUAGCCUGCCCACACCAUAGAGGGGCAUGAAAUAGGAAAGGGACAACCUUGGGCUUCUGCUGUCAGGGGUAGGCUUUAAUGAUGUCACACAGAAAGUAUCCUGGUAGCCACAUCUCUGCCCAGUGGGGAGGACAUCAUGCUCAGCUUGACCUCAGCCAUGAAGCUGUUCUUUGAGUUGAAGGGAUUAGAACAAAACACCACACCUGUUUCAUGCUGCAGGAUCAGCCACAAGAAAUCUCGGAGGAUUGACUUGGCUCAGAGAUAAAGCAGUGCUUGGAAGACUUCUCUAAUGGGACACAGUGCUGAGCGUAAAUGAAGAGGGCAAUGACAGAGGCUACCCUGAGAUGCAAGGCUCUGUUUUGUUACAGUUGCCUUCCUUUUGUCAUCUGCAUCUGUUAGAGUGGCGAACCUCAGUGACAGACAAGAAGUAAAUGUGAGAUGCAUCAGAUCUGUUUUUGAGCAACUGAUCUUGCAUAACCAGACUGUAGCAAGCUGUCAGCUCUGUACGUCCCUCAUGGCUAGACCUUUGCACUUCUCUAUGCUGCAAUCCUCUGACCUUUUAUUCUCUAUAUAAAAGAAUAAAAUGCUGGCUUUCUAUAUGGCUCGGUGUUUUCUGUGAAACCCCACAGUUUGUAAGAGAAGGACUCGGUGUUUCAAAUACACUUCUUUUCCUAACUUGUUGAAAUAGGGUUGGU